rnacentral:rRNA from 1 species
AUGAUUCAGGAUAUGGCUAGAAGAACGGAUGACACAUUCUUUAUGGCCUGGCUUGCGGUUGCCUUCAGCACUUUUCUAGCACCAACCACGGCCUUGCAGCUCAGCCCAAAGUGCUACGGACUUGUGCUAGAUCAUCAAAUGCUCAAGAACACAAACAUCUGCCUCUUUAUAGCAGAACACAUUAAUGAAGCUUUCUGGAAUAUGGACCAGGAGAAGCAAACUGUUUGCUGCUGCUUGUAUCACUUGAUGAUACUAUACCUUGAUGCACUCGUACAUGACAUCCCAGUAAGCAACUGCGCGAUACGAUCGAAUGCAUGGGAUAAUACUCUAAUUGCCAAGGUGAUCAAGAAGGAUACUAUCUCUCCUGGUGUGUUCGGCAAAUCACAAAUGACUUAA